AGCAGCCGCGGUAAUUCCAGCUCCAAUAGCGUAUAUUAAAGUUGUUGCAGUUAAAAAGCUCGUAGUUGAAUUUCGGGGUUCUACCGUUGGUCGGGCUAUUGUCUGUACUGGUGUGUAGAAUUUCUACCUUCUGGGGAACCAUCAUGUUAUUAAUUUAGCGUGGUGGGAAACCAGGACCUUUACCUUGAAAAAAUUAGAGUGUUCAAAGCAGGCUUACGUCUGAAUACAUUAGCAUGGAAUAAUAAAAUAGGACGGUGGUCCUGUUUUGUUGGUUUCUGAAUCACCGUAAUGAUUAAUAGGGAUAGUUGGGGGCAUUAGUAUUCAAUUGUCAGAGGUGAAAUUCUUGGAUUUAUUGAAGACUAACUUCUGCGAAAGCAUUUGCCAAGGAUGUUUUCAUUAAUCAAGAACGAAAGUUAGGGGAUCGAAGACGAUCAGAUACCGUCGUAGUCU
rnacentral:rRNA from 1 species